GUCACUUUUACGGUUGGCCAUUUGUCUCUUACGUUGCAUUUAUCAAUCUGCUUUUUUGAUACAGCAGCACCUCGCUGCUGCUUUUCUGAGAC
rnacentral:sRNA from 1 species